rnacentral:rRNA from 6 species
UGAGGGAAAGGCGAAAAGAACCCCGGCGAGGGGAGUGAAAAAGAACCUGAAACCGUGUACGUACAAGCAGUGGGAGCCCCACCACCAAAGCAUUCUCUGGUGUUGAAGGCCCUGCAAAGCAGCAUCGCGGUGGCGGAGCGUCGUUUGCGACGCCCAACACACAAAACAAGCGGUGAAUGCUUUGGGGUGGGGUGACUGCGUACCUUUUGUAUAAUGGGUCAGCGACUUAUAUUCUGUAGCAAGGUUAACCGUAUAGGGGAGCCGGAGG